GAUGAACGCUGGCGGCGUGCCUAAUACAUGCAAGUCGAGCGAACGGACGAGAAGCUUGCUUCUCUGAUGUUAGCGGCGGACGGGUGAGUAACACGUGGAUAACCUACCUAUAAGACUGGGAUAACUUCGGGAAACCGGAGCUAAUACCGGAUAAUAUUUUGAACCGCAUGGUUCAAAAGUGAAAGACGGUCUUGCUGUCACUUAUAGAUGGAUCCGCGCUGCAUUAGCUAGUUGGUAAGGUAACGGCUUACCAAGGCAACGAUGCAUAGCCGACCGGAGCGGGUGAUCGGCCACACUGGAACUGAGACACGGUCCAGACUCCUACGGGAGGCAGCAGUAGGGAAUCUUCCGCAAUGGGCGAAAGCCUGACGGAGCAACGCCGCGUGAGUGAUGAAGGUCUUCGGAUCGUAAAACUCUGUUAUUAGGGAAGAACAUAUGUGUAAGUAACUGUGCACAUCUUGACGGUACCUAAUCAGAAAGCCACGGCUAACUACGUG
rnacentral:rRNA from 1 species